UACAGAGGUCUCAAGCGUUGUUCGGAUUCAUUGGGCGUAAAGGGUGCGUAGGCGGCGCGGUAAGUCGGGUGUGAAAUCUCGGGGCUUAACUCCGAAACUGCAUUCGAUACUGCCGUGCUUGAGGACUGGAGAGGAGACUGGAAUUUACGGUGUAGCGGUGAAAUGCGUAGAUAUCGUAAGGAAGACCAGUGGCGAAGGCGGGUCUCUGGACAGUUCCUGACGCUGAGACACGAAGGUCAGGGGAGCAAACGGG
rnacentral:rRNA from 1 species